UACCAUGAGUACAGUGGCGUACGGGUGAGUAACACGUGGGGAUCUACCUCCUGGUGGGGAAUAACUCUGGGAAACCGGAGCUAAUACCGCAUAAGCAGGGAACUGGAAAGCCGAAAGGCGCCGGAAGAGGAGCCCGCGGCCGAUUAGCUAGUUGGUGAGGUAACGGCUCACCAAGGCAAAGAUCGGUAGCCGGCCUGAGAGGGCACACGGCCACACUGGCACUGAAACACGGGCCAG
rnacentral:rRNA from 1 species